AAGUCGUAACAAGGUUUCCGUAGGUGAACCUGCGGAAGGAUCAUUAACUAUUUGUGGGAGAAAGGCGUCAAAAACCUUUUUUUCCAUUAAUUCAUCCAUAAUGUGGGUCAAACCACAUGCGCAAUGUUUUUUAAGGGUAUUCUUUUGGGGGUACUCUUUUUAUUUAUGAUAUGGCCUAAAAAACCAUAUUAUUAAUUUUUUUAUACUAAAUUUACUGAAUUAACGAUUGACCAUAAUUUAUGGUUGUUAAAAAAUAUAUUAAUUUAUAUAAAAACAACUUUCAGCAAUGGAUCUCUCGGCUUUC
rnacentral:misc_RNA from 1 species